CUACGGGUUGCUGCAGUGGGGAAUAUUGCACAAUGGGCGCAAGCCUGAUGCAGCCAUGCCGCGUGUAUGAAGAAGGCCUUCGGGUUGUAAAGUACUUUCAGCGGGGAGGAAGGGAGUAAAGUUAAUACCUUUGCUCAUUGACGUUACCCGCAGAGGAAGCACCGGCUAACUCCGUGCCAGCAGCCGCGGUAAUACGGAGGGUGCAAGCGUUAAUCGGAAUUACUGGGCGUAAAGCGCACGCAGGCGGUUUGGUAAGUCAGAUGUGAAAUCCCCGGGCUCAACCUGGGAACUGCAUCUGAUACUGGCAAGCUUGAGUCUCGUAGAGGGGGGUAGAAUUCCAGGUGUAGCGGUGAAAUGCGUAGAGAUCUGGAGGAAUACCGGUGGCGAAGGCGGCCCCCUGGACGAAGACUGACGCUCAGGUGCGAAAGCGUGGGGAGCAAACAGGAUUAGAUACCCCCGUAGUC
rnacentral:rRNA from 1 species